rnacentral:rRNA from 1 species
ACUUNUACGGAANCCNAANGGNAUUAAAUCAUUUAUCNUUUAUUUGAUAAUCCCUUACUACAUGGAUACCUGGGGUAAUUCUAAACCUAAAACAUGCUUCAAGGAGUGGCUUUCGUCGCUCUGCACUUAUUAAAUAAAAAACCAAGGCCCCUUUGGGGCUCCUUGGUGAUUCAUAAUAAUUUACCGGACCGCAUUCCCUCGAGGAGGCGGGGGAUCAUUCAAAUUUCUGCCCUAUCAACUUUCGAUGGUAGGAUAGUGGCCUACCAUGGUUUCCCGGGUAACGGGGUAAC